CAGCCGCCGCGGUAAUACGAAGGGUGCAAGCGUUACUCGGAAUUACUGGGCGUAAGGCGUGCGUAGGUGGUGGUUUAAGUCCGUUGUGAAAGCCCUGGGCUCAACCUGGGAAUUGCAGUGGAUACUGGGUCACUAGAGUGUGGUAGAGGAUAGUGGAAUUUCCGGUGUAGCAGUGAAAUGCGUAGAGAUCGGAAGGAACAUCUGUGGCGAAGGCGGCCCCCUGGGAUAACACUGACGCUCAUGCACGAAAGCGUGGGGAGCAAACAGGAUUAGAUACCCGUGUAGUCCCUGUCUCUUAUAC
rnacentral:rRNA from 1 species